CGCCAUUUUAGUGGUCCCAUUAGUUUUGCGUAUAGAAAGUGGGACGUAAAGUGGGCAUUUUACUGAAAAGUUGGUUCUUGUUUAUGUUGAUGAUUGUGGAAUAAAGUGAGUGGUGAAAAUUGGGGAUUUGCUGUUUUUUAUUCUCGACGUUUUAAUUUUUCGGAAGUUCCGAAAUGUACAUCAAACAGGUUAUUAUUCAAGGCUUCCGAAGUUACAGGGAUCAAACUAUCGUUGAUCCAUUCAGUCCCAAACACAACGUUAUAGUUGGUCGAAAUGGAUCUGGGAAAAGUAACUUCUUUUAUG